rnacentral:rRNA from 1 species
UUUCGUACUAACUACAAACAUUGUUUUUUAAGUCCAUAACACAUACAAACAUAACCGAGCUAAAAAAUAAGACCUUAGGCAAUGGAUGUCUUGGCUCCUUACACGAUGAAGAACGUUGCAUAAUGCGAUAAGCGGCUGGAGUAGCUAACAUUGCGACAAGUUCGAUCUUUGAAUGCACAUUGCGCAAUAUGCAUCCUUGGGUGUAUAUGCAUGUAUGAAGUAGUAACCUUUCAUAUUCUAAUUCGCUUUCCAUCAAAGCGCGAAAAAUUAUAAUUACGAAAUGGGUUCUUCGACAUACAGGA